UACAGAGGGGGCAAGCGUUAUUCGGAAUUAUUGGGCGUAAAGGGCGCGUAGGUGGCUUGGCAAGUGGAAGGUGAAAUCCCCCGGCUUAACCUGGGAACUGCGUCUGAUACUGGAAGGCUUGAGGAUGGGAGAGGGAUGUAGAAUUCCAGGUGUAGCGGUGAAAUGCGUAGAUAUCUGGAGGAAUACCGGUGGCGAAGGCGGCAUCCUGGACCAUUACUGACGCUGAGGCGCGAAAGCUAGGGGAGCAAACGGG
rnacentral:rRNA from 1 species